AUUGAACGCUGGCGGCAGGCCUAACACAUGCAAGUCGAACGGUAACAGGAAGCAGCUUGCUGCUUUGCUGACGAGUGGCGGACGGGUGAGUAAUGUCUGGGAAACUGCCUGAUGGAGGGGGAUAACUACUGGAAACGGUAGCUAAUACCGCAUAACGUCGCAAGACCAAAGAGGGGGACCUUCGGGCCUCUUGCCAUCGGAUGUGCCCAGAUGGGAUUAGCUAGUAGGUGGGGUAACGGCUCACCUAGGCGACGAUCCCUAGCUGGUCUGAGAGGAUGACCAGCCACACUGGAACUGAGACACGGUCCAGACUCCUACGGGAGGCAGCAGUGGGGAAUAUUGCACAAAGGGCGCAAGCCUGAUGCAGCCAUGCCACGUGUAUGAAGAAGGCCUUCGGGUUGUAAAGUACUUUCAGCGGGGAGGAAGGGAGUAAAGUUAAUACCUUUGCUCAUUGACGUUACCCGCAGAAGAAGCACCGGCUAACUCCGUG
rnacentral:rRNA from 1 species